CCUACGGGUGGCAGCAGUGAGGAAUAUUGGUCAAUGGCCGGAAGGCUGAACCAGCCAUGCCGCGUGAAGGUCAGUGCCCUAUGGGUUGUAAACCUCUUUUGCCGGGGAGCAACGGGCGUCACGUGUGGCGCCACUGAGAGUACCCGUAGAAAAAGCAUCGGCUAACUCCGUGCCAGCAGCCGCGGUAAUACGGAGGAUGCGAGCGUUAUCCGGAUUUAUUGGGUUUAAAGGGUGCGUAGGCGGAUCGUUAAGUCAGUGGUCAAAUUGAGGGGCUCAACCCCUUCCCGCCAUUGAAACUGGCGCUCUUGAGUGGAAGAGAAGUAUGCGGAAUGCGUGGUGUAGCGGUGAAAUGCAUAGAUAUCACGCAGAACCCCGAUUGCGAAGGCAGCAUGCCGGCUUCCGACUGACGCUGAAGCACGAAAGCGUGGGGAUCGAACAGGAUUAGAUACCCCGGUAGUC
rnacentral:rRNA from 1 species